GACGAACGCUGGCGGCGUGCUUAACACAUGCCAGUCGAACGGAAAGGCCCUGCUUUUGUGGGGUGCUCGAGUGGCGAACGGGUGAGUAACACGUGAGUAACCUGCCCUUGACUUUGGGAUAACUUCAGGAAACUGGGGCUAAUACCGCAUAGGAGCUCCUGCUGCAUGGUGGGGGUUGGAAAGUUUCGGCGGUUGGGGAUGGACUCGCGGCUUAUCAGCUUGUUGGUGGGGUAGUGGCUUACCAAGGCUUUGACGGGUAGCCGGCCUGAGAGGGUGACCGGCCACAUUGGGACUGAGAUACGGCCCAGACUCCUACGGGAGGCAGCAGUGGGGAAUAUUGCACAAUGGGCGGAAGCCUGAUGCAGCAACGCCGCGUGCGGGAUGACGGCCUUCGGGUUGUAAACCGCUUUCGCCUGUGACGAAGCGUGAGUGACGGUAAUGGGUAAAGAAGCACCGGCUAACUACGUG
rnacentral:rRNA from 1 species